AAGAACGAUAACAAUGAGCUGAGCUCAUUGAAGGUUGUUCUGCUUUGUGCAUGUCUGAGAAACUCCUGAAUAUUCAUGUAAGUGCCGCCUUUGGAAACGGAAAAUCUCAGAAACCAAAAAUCUCGUAACACCGGUCCGCUCCCACAUUCCUCUCCACCCAUUAAACAGGUUAAUCUUGAGCUCCAAAGAGGUGCAGCUUGAGGUAAUUUUGCUCUGCAGGGAGCACUAAUUGCGUUCAGAGGCAGAUACACUGUAUUGGUAUAAAUAGGUGGAUUAUAUUGUCAGUUUUAGUGAGUUCACUCUCAAGUCUGGAACAAUGUUUACACGUGGAGUCAUCGUCCUUCUCUGUGUCCUAGUGGCCGUAUCUGAUGCAGUGAGAGAGCCUGAACCUGAGCUUAUCGUGUGCCCGAUGGACUAUUCACCCGUGUGUGGAUCUGAUGGAAUAACAUACAGCAGUACAUGCAUGCUGUUUGUUGCAAACCAGGAAUCAGGAACUGAAAUCUUUAUCGUGAAGGAUGGCAAAUGUGAUUAAGAUGUGCAGGAGUGACACAGGAAUGGCAGCAUAAUUCAGCUUGACAGACCUUUACUCAGUAUUAUUGUGUCUCAUUCAUUAUAACCUGAAUGUGUAACGGUUUAAUCCUUAAAUAAAUGCUGCAUAUUGAAGCUG